UACGUAGGGAGCAAGCGUUGUUCGGAUUUACUGGGCGUAAAGGGCGCGUAGGCGGCGUGUCAAGUCGAUUGUGAAAUCUCCGGGCUUAACUCGGAACGGCCAAUCGAUACUGACGUGCUAGAGUGCAGAAAGGGCAAUCGGAAUUCUUGGUGUAGCGGUGAAAUGCGUAGAUAUCAGGAAGAACACCCGUGGCGAAGGCGGUUCUCUGGGACGGUACUGACGCUGAGACGCGAAAGCGUGGGGAGCGAACAGG
rnacentral:rRNA from 1 species